rnacentral:rRNA from 1 species
AGGAUGAACGCUGGCGGUAUGCUUAACACAUGCAAGUCGAACGGAACCUUCGGGUUUAGUGGCGGACGGGUGAGUAACGCGUGAGAAUCUGCCUCUAGGUCGGGGACAACAACUGGAAACGGUUGCUAAUACCCGAUGUGCAGCAAUGUGAAAGAUUUAUUGCCUAGAGAUGAGCUCGCGUCUGAUUAGCUAGUAGGUGUGGUAAUGGCGCACCUAGGCGACGAUCAGUAACUGGUCUGAGAGGAUGACCAGUCACACUGGGACUGAGACACGGCCCAGACUCCUACGGGAGGCAGCAGUGGGGAAUUUUCCGCAAUGGGCGAAAGCCUGACGGAGCAAUACCGCGUGAGGGACGAAGGCUUUUGGGUCGUAAACCUCUUUUCCCUGAGAAGAAGAUCUGACGGUAUCGAGGGGAAUCAGCAUCGGCUAACUUCGUGCCAGCAGCCGC